rnacentral:rRNA from 1 species
UUGACCUCAAAUCAGGUAGGACUACCCGCUGAACUUAAGCAUAUCAAUAAGCGGAGGAAAAGAAACCAACAGGGAUUGCCUUAGUAACGGCGAGUGAAGCGGCAAAAGCUCAAAUUUGAAAUCUAGCACUUUCAGUGUUCGAGUUGUAAUUUGAAGAAGGUAACUUUGGAAUUGGCUCUUGUCUAUGUUCCUUGGAACAGGACGUCACAGAGGGUGAGAAUCCCGUGCGAUGAGAUGUCCAAUUCUAUGUAAAGUGCUUUCGAAGAGUCGAGUUGUUUGGGAAUGCAGCUCUAAGUGGGUGGUAAAUUCCAUCUAAAGCUAAAUAUUGGCGAGAGACCGAUAGCGAACAAGUACAGUGAUGGAAAGAUGAAAAGAACUUUGAAAAGAGAGUGAAAAAGUACGUGAAAUUGUUGAAAGGGAAGGGCUUGAGAUCAGACUUGGUAUUUUGUGUUCCUUAUCCUUCUUGGAUUAGGUUCCUCACAGCUUACCGGGCCAGCAUCGGUUUGGAUGGCAGGAUAAUGACAUUGGAAUGUAGCUUUGCUUCGGUGAAGUGUUAUAGACUUUGUUGAUACUGCCUAUCUAGACCGAGGACUGCGUCUU